rnacentral:rRNA from 1 species
UACAGAGGUCCCAAGCGUUGUUCGGAUUCACUGGGCGUAAAGGGUGCGUAGGCGGUUGGGUAAGUCUGAUGUGAAAUCUCACAGCUUAACUGUGAAACUGCAUUGGAUACUAUCCAACUCGAGGAAUGGAGGGGAGACUGGAAUACUUGGUGUAGCAGUGAAAUGCGUAGAUAUCAAGUGGAACACCAGUGGCGAAGGCGGGUCUCUGGGCCGAUACUGACGCUGAGGAGCGAAAGCGUGGGGAGCGAACAGG